AGUGAACGCUGGCGGUAGGCCUAACACAUGCAAGUCGAACGGCAGCACAGUAAGAGCUUGCUCUUACGGGUGGCGAGUGGCGGACGGGUGAGGAAUACAUCGGAAUCUACUUUUUCGUGGGGGAUAACGUAGGGAAACUUACGCUAAUACCGCAUACGACCUACGGGUGAAAGCAGGGGAUCUUCGGACCUUGCGCGAUUGAAUGAGCCGAUGUCGGAUUAGCUAGUUGGCGGGGUAAAGGCCCACCAAGGCGACGAUCCGUAGCUGGUCUGAGAGGAUGAUGAGCCACACUGGAACUGAGACAGGGUCCAGACUCCUACGGGAGGCGGCAGUGGGGAAUAUUGGAAAAUGGGCGAAAGCCUGAUGCAGCAAUACGGCGGAGGUGAAGAAGGCCUUCGGGUUGUAAAGCCCUUUUGUUGGGAAAGAAAAGCAGGAGAUUGAAAACUGCAUGUUCUGACGGUACCUAAAGAAAAAGCAACGGCUAACUACGUG
rnacentral:rRNA from 1 species